UACGUAGGGGGCAAGCGUUGUCCGGAAUCAUUGGGCGUAAAGCGCGUGUAGGCGGUUCGAUAAGUCUGCUGUGAAAGUCCAGGGCUCAACCCUGGGAUGCCGGUGGAUACUGUCGGACUAGAGUACGGAAGAGGCGAGUGGAAUUCCCGGUGUAGCGGUGAAAUGCGCAGAUAUCGGGAGGAACACCAAUAGCGAAGGCGGCUCGCUGGGACGUUACUGACACUGAGGCGCGAAAGCGUGGGGAGCGAACAGG
rnacentral:rRNA from 1 species